ACUCCUACGGGAGGCAGCAGUGGGGAAUAUUGCACAAUGGGCGCAAGCCUGAUGCAGCCAUGCCGCGUGUAUGAAGAAGGCCUUCGGGUUGUAAAGUACUUUCAGCAGUGAGGAAGGUGGGAUAUGUUAAUAGCAUAUUCAUUUGACGUUAGCUGCAGAAAGAAAGCACCGGGCUAACUCCGUGCCAGCAGCCGCGGUAAUACGGAGGGUGCGAGCGUUAAUCGGAAUUACUGGGCGUAAAGCGCAUGCAGGUGGUUUGUUAAGUCAGAUGUGAAAGCCCGGGGCUCAACCUCGGAAUUGCAUUUGAAACUGGCAAACUAGAGUACUGUAGAGGGGGGUAGAAUUUCAGGUGUAGCGGUGAAAUGCGUAGAGAUCUGAAGGAAUACCGGUGGCGAAGGCGGCCCCCUGGACAGAUACUGACACUCAGAUGCGAAAGCGUGGGGAGCAAACAGGAUUAGAUACCCUGGUAGCUACGAGU
rnacentral:rRNA from 1 species